UUGCGUUCCACUGACGCCAUUUUGUUCCAAACUGCGCAUUUCCGAGGCCCCAAUGGCGGAGGGUAUAUAAAGGUAAUAUGACGUCAGCCCCGCACCUCAUUUAUUUUUCGUCGUGGAGUAGUGCGGUCGUCGCGUUGGACGUUCUCGGAAUUCUUCAAUUUUACAUAGUGCCUGGUUUGAUUCAGUCCCAUUGCGUUUCGCGUGGGUCUGCAUCAGACGGCCGCCAUCUUGGCUGCUACUGGGGCGUGGUCGUCGCUAACUACAAAAUGGGUUUGUAACGGUAUCAUGCAUUUAUUUAGUUACGUUUUAAAUUGUAAAUAAUUAUUUCAGUUUUCUAUUUUAUAAUAGACUAUUGGAAUUAAAAGUAUUAUUCAUA